UGUUGGCUUAGAAGCAGCCACCAUUUAAAGAGUGCGUAAUAGCUCACUAGUCGAGUGACUCUGCGCCGAAAAUGUACCGGGGCUAAAUACACCACCGAAGCUGCGGAUUGAUACCAAUGGUAUCAGUGGUAGGGGAGCGUUCUAAGUGCAGUGAAGUCAGACCGGAAGGACUGGUGGAGCGCUUAGAAGUGAGAAUGCCGGUAUGAGUAGCGAAAGACGGGUGAGAAUCCCGUCCACCGAAUGCCUAAGGUUUCCUGAGGAAGGCUCGUCCGCUCAGGGUUAGUCAGGACCUAAGCCGAGGCCGACAGGCGUAGGCGAUGGACAACAGGUUGAUAUUCCUGUACCACCUCUUUAUCGUUUGAGCAAUGGAGGGACGCAGAAGGAUAGAAGAAGCGUGCGAUUGGUUGUGCACGUCCAAGCAGUUAGGCUGAUAAGUAGGCAAAUCCGCUUAUCGUGAAGGCUGAGCUGUGAUGGGGAAGCUCCUUAUGGAGCGAAGUCUUUGAUUCCCCGCUGCCAAGAAAAGCUUCUAGCGAGAUAAAAGGUGCCUGUACCGCAAACCGACACAGGUAGGCGAGGAGAGAAUCCUAAGGUGUGCGAGAGAACUCUGGUUAAGGAACUCGGCAAAAUGACCCCGUAACUUCGGGAGAAGGGGUGCUUUCUUAACGGAAAGCCGCAGUGAAUAGGCCCAAGCGACUGUUUAGCAAAAACACAGCUCUCUGCGAAGCCGUAAGGCGAAGUAUAGGGGGUGACACCUGCCCGGUGCUGGAAGGU
rnacentral:rRNA from 1 species